AAGUGUUACAGCUCUUUUAGAAUUUGUCUGUCAGGUAUUCCAAUUUUUCUUUUUUCUUUUUUUUUUUCAACCGGAAAACCGUC
rnacentral:snRNA from 1 species